GUCAUGGUGCUUGUUGCUUCUGCUGGCUUGACUGACAGAUCUGAGUCCUGCAGUGUUGAACUCACAGGACUAUAAACCUUCUCAGUUCACUGGAGGAUCAGCUGACCAUGCAAAGCCUCCACUCUAUGGAAAUCAUCUCUCUGCUCUCAGACAAACAGAGACACUGAACCAACACUAAUAGAUACUGGAUUUAAAACUCUCAUCAUCUUAUUGGAAGAGGAGAAAAUAAAACAGAAACAACAUGAAGGAUUUUCACUUCUUGGAUUAAAAUAUUUUUUUUAGAAGUUUUUCUAAAACUCAUAGGUAAAUAUCUUACUGUAUAUAUCAAUGUAAGUAGAUAUUUUUUAAAAUGGGUAUAUGAAUUAAAUUGCUUUGAAAAAUGGUUUUAGCAUUUAAACAUAAUAGAAGCUGAAUUGUUAAACAGUGUUGCACAGGAUGGGAAGAAACUUUUACUUUUCAUUGGUGAUAAAAUGAAAAAAUUCUCAGAAAUUAUGAAUGAAUUUAAAGCUGAAUUAAUGUUGGAUGAUUUGCAGAUUAAAUACAGUUUAAUCUGUGAUUUUUAUCACUUUAAAAACAUCAUUUCAGCAGCUAGAUGUCUCCUGACAGUGCAGGAGGUUUUUGUACGGCCUCUCAAUGAGUUUGUAUCACUGUGGGUCACUUUUGGUGGAGGAACUAAACUCGUCGUUAACUUGGGUGUGUUGCGGCCCACCCUGACCGUCCUGCCCCCCUCCAAAGAGCAGCAGCAGCAGAGCAGCGUCACACUGGUGUGUCUGGCCAGCGGGGGCUUCCCCUCCACCUGGAGGCUGGGCUGGAAGGUGGGGGGCAGCAGCAGGUCCUCAGGGGUGUCCAGCAGCCCGGAGGUGCUGGGGGGGGACGGCCGCUACAGCUGGAGCAGCACCCUGAGCCUCCCUGCAGACCAGUGGAGGAAGGCGGGCUCAGUGAGCUGUGAGGCCAAUCAGAGUGGAGAGAGUCCUGUCACUCAAACCCUGGAGCCUGACCGCUGCUCAGAGUAGAGCUGCAGCUCCAUGGCUGGAACCAUCAUGGUGUCAUGUUUUAUUCACAAACAUCACUUUUCAUGUUUCAUUCGUCUUCCUUAUGUUCUCUCAUGUAACUUGGAGUAAAUGGAUUGUUUCAAUAAAAGUGCAGAUUUAUGUCAA